AUGACCGGCCUCCAUGACGAGCGCGCCACCAGCGAACCCCGGAGAUCCAAGCGGUCCAGGCCGGAGGCGAAGGCGGCGGAGCCUCCGGCACGCCGGGCCAGGCGCGCCGAGGGCCACGCUCCUCCGCCCAAGCGUCGAGCUGCGAGGGUUGCGCGACCAUCUUCGCACCAUAGGGAUUCGGAGGAUGUGACCAUGGCUCCUCCUCCCGCGCGCCGCGUGAAGGCCCCGGCUCCUCCGCCCAAGACUGAGUGGCAUCGCAUCUCGUACAGACUCCGCAACCGCGUCGUCCAGGAUACCAGCAACCUCAAGCCCGCCCCCAGUCGUUACGACAACCGGAUAGAAAUUAAACAUGAUCUAACAUGGCAAACUCCGACGUGUGCACGCGUGGCUUUGGAACACUACAACAACAUGAAUCAGGAGGACGAGCAUGAGAUGGUUAAAGCAGUGAGCAGUCAUGUCUUUGUCUUCAAUGGUAUCUGGUUCCAUGCAAAUUUCCUUGCUAAGCGAAAAGGAGCCACCACCUGCGUUGAUCUCGUCCCCAAGUACUUCUUUGCUGAGUUGGACAUCGUGGGGACGAAAAAACUAUCUUGUGUUUCAUGUGUUAAGCUUGACCCAGGUGAUCCCAAAAACAUUGGUGGUUGUAGCCUGUGCUAUGAGAAUAUCAUACAUCCUGCUGGCGGUGGAUACCACGGUGCCCAACCUCGAUCUGUUCGACAUGCUCCUGGUGGCCUACAGAUUUCAUUCAAGUUCUGA
rnacentral:rRNA from 1 species